GUUUUCUGUUGCUACAAUAGAAUAUCUGUGUCGAGGUACUUUAUAAAUAAAAGAAGUUUACUUAGCUCACAGUUUUGGAGGCUGAGAAUCCAAUAUCAGGUGGGCCCAAAGAGACCCACAGUGACAAAGAGAUCACACAGUGACACAGGAAGCCAGAGAGGCUCAGGAAUGAGAUGUGCUCUUUUUUUAUAACAACUCUCACUAAUGGGAACUGACAGAGGCCCCAUGAGAACUGCAUUAAUCCCCUCUGAGCGUGGUAUCCAGGUCCCGCCCUCCCCAGGUCCCACCUCUCGAUGGCCCUACCACCUCAGCCCACCAUACUGGGAACAUGCUCAGAACAGCCAAUCCACAGAAGUAGCUCACAGGCUAAGGGUGGCUUUACAGAUUUGUAAAAGAUGGAGAAGAAGGAGAAGACUGGGAAGGAGGAGGAGCAAGGAGAGAAAAGGAGGAAGAGAAGAGUAGAUAGUGGGAGGGAGGGAGAGACGGGAAGAGCAGAGGGGAAGGAGACCGAGACCAUCUGUGGCCCUUAAAGUCUAAAAUUCUAUAGGCCUCCCCUUAUAGCAAGGGCACUCUUCCAGAACAGCUGAGAUGGUGUCCCCUUCAGAGCAGGGUCACUAUGUAUUUCCUUUACUGUUGGACACCCAAUGCCUGGGAAAAUGCCUGGCACACAGAAUCCAUCUGUCAAUAUUUGUGAAAUAAAGGAAGGAUUAAAUGAACAGAAGGUUUACAGGAAGGAUCUUGGUAACCGCUGAGUCUCAAGGCCUUGAGAGCUUCUGCUCCGGUUUCUAGAUCUGGCAGGAGGUUUUUGCCUAAAUCCAGCUGCC
rnacentral:lncRNA from 1 species